rnacentral:rRNA from 1 species
UACGUAGGGUGCAAGCGUUAAUCGGAAUUACUGGGCGUAAAGCGUGCGCAGGCGGUUUUGUAAGUCUGUCGUGAAAUCCCCGGGCUCAACCUGGGAAUGGCGAUGGAGACUGCAAGGCUAGAGUUUGGCAGAGGGGGGGUAGAAUUCCACGUGUAGCAGUGAAAUGACGUAGAUAUGUGGAGGAGCACCGAUGGCGAAGGCAGCCCCCUGGGUCAAAACUGACGCUCAUGCACGAAAGCGUGGGGAGCAAACAGG